rnacentral:rRNA from 1 species
UGGGGAAUAUUGGACAAUGGGCGAAAGCCUGAUCCAGCCAUGCCGCGUGUGUGAAGAAGGUCUUCGGAUUGUAAAGCCCUUUCAGUUGGGAGGAAGGGCAGUAAGCGAAUACCUUGCUGUUUUGACGUUACCGACAGAAUAAGCACCGGCUAACUCUGUGCCAGCAGCCGCGGUAAUAAAGAGGGUGCAAGCGUUAAUCGGAAUUACUGGGGGUAAAGCGCGCGUAGGUGGUUCGUUAAGUUGAAUGUGAAAGAUCCGGGCUCAACCUGGGAAGUGCAUCCAAAACAGGCGAGCUAGAGUAGGGGAGAGGGUGGUGGAAUUACCUGUGUAGCGGUGAAAUGCGUAGAUAUAGGAAAGAACACCAGUGGCGAAGGCGACUACCUGGGCUGAUACUGACGCUGAGGUGCGAAAGCGUGGGGAGCAAACAGG